rnacentral:lncRNA from 1 species
CAAAAUCAAAAAUCCCAAAAUGCUAUUAGAUGAAGCAGAACAGAUUUGAAAUUUAGACCAUAAGAAAAAAGGCCAAACAAAAACACCGCAUUUGAUAUAACCAGAGCAAUCUCUCUAGCAGCAUCAUUUUUUCUUGGUGCAAGGAAUGAGAAAUCACUUCAGCAGUCUUGGCCUCACCCUGGAGAUAAGUGUUUCAUGGAUUAUCCAAGUCAGGACUUUCUCAUUGUAUUUUGGACCAAGAGCUCGAUCUGCCACAGAACAAGUAAAGAACCAAAGCUCUAUCUUGACCUGUUGUGAAGAUGCAUUCAAGGAGUUAGUAGGCAAGAAAGCUGCUCCCUCCUAAUGAAAAUCGAGAUGAAUUAUUGAUAGACAAGGGGAUCAUUCAAAACAGGAGCAGUAGCCAAUUUAAAGGAAAUGUAAUUUAAUAACCAGCCUGCAACACUUGAAGCAUUUGGAGAUGGAAAUUCCAGAUAGAGUUCUGGAUAUUUUCACUAAUUAUUCCAAUGAAUAACAUCAAACAAUGGAAAUACAUGCCACAAAGACAACCUGAACAAAUAGUUUCAAUCUUCAAGUGAAGAAUGUAUUAAAUUGCUAUGAUGCACAAAAAUAUUUGUAGAAUCUGCAAGCCUUAAUGAUUUCCAUGGAAUGAACACACCUCAUUGACUUGUUGGAUAAUAAGAGUCACAACAAUAUUAGUAAAAUCGCAGAAAAAUCUAUGUGAUUUCCAUGAAUUGAAUGCAUUUCAUAAACUAUUAGACGAAAUAGCAAAUAUUCUCAGAAUUUCAAGGUCACAAAUAUAAUUGUUAAAAGUACUCAAAAUUAUUUUUCAAUUUUCAAUUUAAUAUGAUGAUGUUCCAAUAUCCUAUACUUUAUUCAAGGGGAAUAAGCCAAUCCUAGCAAGGAACAAAGUGGCUCUAAUCCUUAAAAGGUAUUUACUUCCUAAGCGAUAUAUAACAACUAUAGUUAAGAAAUGGAACGAAAGUACAUAUACAACAUAUGCAAAUCAUAUUGGAAAAGUACGUAUGCAAAUCUAUAAGAGACAGUGAAGUAAGCAAAACAUAACCAAGUAGCGGAUCUAUUCAAUGCGAUUUCUAAAUCCAAGGAACGAAAGAACAACAUCAAGUUACAGGCUCCACUGCGUAAUACGGUGCCAUGACAUAAAAAAGCAAAAACAAUGACAGAAAUAGAACUACAAUUCAUUAAGGAAAAAAAAAAAAUAUCACAACCUUAUAGUCAGUGGCAAGCAAUUGGACUAGCAGAACUAAUAGAAAUUAGAAGACAAUUCAACAUCACAAUAGAACUGUUUGAUGUUAAUCGCUUCUUUCACAACCAAAACCAACCGAGAUUGAAUACGAAAGAAAGGGUCAGGCAAGCCCAACCCAAAAUUACAUAAUGAUCAAGCAUGAAGUGAUGAUACUCUUAUAAAUUCAACAGUACUAGAAAUCUCAACAAAAGCAGAAGGGAUUUCCAAGGUUUCUUGAGCAAUGCAAAAGAAAAUGGUACUUAACAGAUAAUAAAUUGUCAAUCAAGAAGCAAACAAAUUACUUUGCCAAACAAACGCAAAAAAAUGAACCAUACAUGGCUUACUCCAUCCUAUCUAAAAAAUCAUAUCAAACCAAUUUUUAGUUUCACUCUAUAAAUGCUUAAAUAAGGAAAAAUCUACACCAAAAUUUCCAUUAUUUUAGAGGAUGAACGAUUUUGUACAUUAUCAAAAGUGAAGUUAAGUUCAACAUCAUAUGACAACCAUACUUGGAAGUUGGAACCUAGUGAGAUUAAUUACUUAAUUUCAACAAAAAAUUGAGAUAAUUAGUUAAUGGUCAGAAUGAUUGUACCUUUUGUAGGUUCGAUCGAUCUACCUCUGCCUCUUGUUCUUGCUUCAAAGCCGAAGAUGAAGAGAGAAAAGCGGUGGAGGGGUUUUAGGUGGGAUUUAUGGCUUUGUUUUUCUUCUUCAAGACAAGCUUGCGUUAUUAAGUAUUAACUGUCCCUCAUUUUUUUUUCUUCUAAAUAUCGG